UACGUAGGGCGCAAGCGUUGUCCGGAAUUAUUGGGCGUAAAGAGCGUGUAGGCGGUUCGGUAAGUCUGUCGUGAAAUCCUGAGGCUCAACCUCGGGCGUGCGAUGGAUACUGCCGGGCUAGAGGGUGGUAGAGGCGAGUGGAAUUCCCGGUGUAGCGGUGAAAUGCGCAGAUAUCGGGAGGAACACCAGUAGCGAAGGCGGCUCGCUGGGCCACACCUGACGCUGAGACGCGAAAGCUAGGGGAGCGAACAGG
rnacentral:rRNA from 1 species